rnacentral:rRNA from 1 species
CAGCCGUAAACAAUGUGCGUUAGGUGUGUCGGUAACCACGCGUUACUGAUGCGCCGAAGAGAAAUCGUGAAACGCACCACCUGGGAAGUACGGUCGCAAGGCUGAAACUUAAAGGAAUUGGCGGGGGAGCACCACAACAGGUGGAGCCUGCGGUUUAAUUCGGAUUCAACGCCGGACAUCUCACCGGAUAAGACAGCUGAAUGAUUGUCAAUCUGAAGGUUUUACAUGACUAGCUGAGAGGAGGUGCAUGGCGUCAGUGACU